rnacentral:rRNA from 1 species
AGCAGCCGCGGUAAUUCCAGCUCCAAUAGCGUAUAUUAAAGUUGUUGCAGUUAAAAAGCUCGUAGUUGAAUUUCGAGAUCAAAUUGUUGGUCGUGCCUUGGUACGCACUGGCAUUAUUGGUUUCUCCCUUCUGAAGAACCAUGAUGUCAUUAAUUUGGUGUCAUGGGGAAUCAGGACUGUUACUUUGAAAAAUUGAGUGUUUAAAGCAGGCUCGCGCUUGAAUACAUUAGCAUGGAAUAAUGAAAUAGGACGUUUGAUUCUAUUUUGUUGGUUUCUAGGAUCGACGUAAUGAUUAAUAGGGAUAGUUGGGGCAUUAGUAUUCAAUUGUCAGAGGUGAAAUUCUUGGAUUUAUUGAAGACUAACUAC